GCUUAUUUAGUUUAAUUUUGAAUAAUAUUUUGAAAAGAUAUAGGUUUUUUAGGCG
rnacentral:tRNA from 1 species